UUUAGGUUAGCUUGCACCCCAAGCCAAAACCCAAAACUAUAAAAGCCCAAAAUAUAUAACACUACUAAAAUAGGCAUAAGUCGAAAUCAUGCAUGUAGCAACAUGCUUCGACACUUCGACACACUAAUACCAUUCAAGACACUAGGUGAUUCGACAAUUCCUUGCUUCUGUCGAGCAACCUGCUUUGACACAAGUAAUUACAAUUC
rnacentral:lncRNA from 1 species